CACAUUUUUUGAAGCAACCAUGCCAUUGUAACUUGCUUCUAAAAGUCUUUGAGUAAUUUAAGUGUUGUAACUUUUUCUUUUUUUUUUCUUUUUUUACAGGACUGGUACUUGUACUAAGUGCAGUGCAGUACCAGGUGAGCUACCAUGCCAUACAUAUGUGAUGAAAAUGUCAAAAUAAUAUUAUAAUCAUAAUUUGUUUAAAAAGGAAUAAAAACUGUUGUUUUUUUUAUUGCCGCUUGUAUUCAUUCCAGCUGGAAACUUGCAGUGGAUUGCAUUGCUACGUUUUUCAAAAACAGAAUCCCAAAGAGCUCCACUUGAGGUGUUCUGGAUGGAUAAAGACAUUUUAUAGGAAUAAACCAAUUUUAUCUCUCAAGUCUUUAAUUAAGCUUCUCUCACAAAGUCAAGCCAUAGGGAUAGUGACACAUCCCCAUCUUCUAAUGGCUUGAGUGAUGCACCUGCACCUCCAAAAACAACACAGAUGCCCUUGCAGAUGCACAAUGAGGUCGUAGAUUGGAAUUCAGCCAUCCAUCCCUCCAGAAACUCCUGUUCUCAACCAUCCUCCAUUUUUAUUCAUAACAAGGCCUCCGUUGGCUGAGGGGUGACUGGUACAAUGGCCAGCGUGUAUGUGACUGCUCUAUCACCUGAGAAAGGCCUUGUGAGCGACACUCUGAGGAACUAGUAAAUGAACACAUUAAAGAGUAGUGGGGACACAGCUGCAGCAAUAAAGUGAGAAGCUUCUCUCACAUGAUCCUUCACUAUAAUGGCCUUCUGAAGGACCUGGGAGGUUAAUUAUGGAUUUGAGACUUGCACCCAAAUACUUUGGCAGAGAUUCUCCCUGUCCACCACACUUGCCGCGGCAACCAUUCAACUUCCUCAAUUAUGUGCCUGUGGAUGGAAGGAGGCAUUUACUCACACAUGAUUUUCUAUGAAUACCAAUGGCUGUGUUUUGCAUAAUGCAAUUAGAGCCAACAAUGGCUCCGUAAUCUGACGCAUACUGCUGUAAACACAUAUUUGCUUUUAUAUAGAGAUGAUUUCACCUCAGCAGUUUGGAGGUUUGGUCUUGCUUCAUUAUAAUAAAAGUUUCCAAUUCUGAAG
ensembl:lncRNA